rnacentral:rRNA from 1 species
UACGUAGGGGGCAAGCGUUGUCCGGAAUCAUUGGGCGUAAAGAGCGUGUAGGCGGCUAGGUAGGUCCGUUGUGAAAACUUGAGGCUCAACCUCAAGCUGUCGGUGGAAACCACAUGGCUAGAGUCCGGAAGAGGAGAGUGGAAUUCCUGGUGUAGCGGUGAAAAUGCGCAGAUAUCAGGAAGAACACCAAUGGCGAAGGCAGCUCUCUGGGACGGUACUGACACUGAGACGCGAAAGCGUGGGGAGCGAACAGG